rnacentral:rRNA from 1 species
AGAGUUUGAUCAUGGCUCAGAUUGAACGCUGGCGGCAGGCCUAACACAUGCAAGUCGAACGGUAACAGGAAGAAGCUUGCUUCUUUGCUGACGAGUGGCGGACGGGUGAGUAAUGUCUGGGAAACUGCCUGAUGGAGGGGGAUAACUACUGGAAACGGUAGCUAAUACCGCAUAACGUCGCAAGACCAAAGAGGGGGACCUUCGGGCCUCUUGCCAUCGGAUGUGCCCAGAUGGGAUUAGCUUGUUGGUGGGGUAACGGCUCACCAAGGCGACGAUCCCUAGCUGGUCUGAGAGGAUGACCAGCCACACUGGAACUGAGACACGGUCCAGACUCCUACGGGAGGCAGCAGUGGGGAAUAUUGCACAAUGGGCGCAAGCCUGAUGCAGCCAUGCCGCGUGUACGAAGAAGGCCUUCGGGUUGUAAAGUACUUUCAGCGGGGAGGAAGGGAGUAAAGUUAAUACCUUUGCUCAUUGACGUUACCCGCAGAAGAAGCACCGGCUAACUCCGUGCCAGCAGCCGCGGUAAUACGGAGGGUGCAAGCGUUAAUCGGAAUUACUGGGCGUAAAGCGCACGCAGGCGGUUUGUUAAGUCAGAUGUGAAAUCCCCGGGCUCAACCUGGGAACUGCAUCUGAUACUGGCAAGCUUGAGUCUCGUAGAGGGGGGUAGAAUUCCAGGUGUAGCGGUGAAAUGCGUAGAGAUCUGGAGGAAUACCGGUGGCGAAGGCGGCCCCCUGGACGAAGACUGACGCUCAGGUGCGAAAGCGUGGGGAGCAAACAGGAUUAGAUACCCUGGUAGUCCACGCCGUAAACGAUGUCGACUUGGAGGUUGUGCCCUUGAGGCGUGGCUUCCGGAGCUAACGCGUUAAGUCGACCGCCUGGGGAGUACGGCCGCAAGGUUAAAACUCAAAUGAAUUGACGGGGGCCCGCACAAGCGGUGGAGCAUGUGGUUUAAUUCGAUGCAACGCGAAGAACCUUACCUGGUCUUGACAUCCACGGAAGUUUUCAGAGAUGAGAAUGUGCCUUCGGGAACCGUGAGACAGGUGCUGCAUGGCUGUCGUCAGCUCGUGUUGUGAAAUGUUGGGUUAAGUCCCGCAACGAGCGCAACCCUUAUCCUUUGUUGCCAGCGGUCCGGCCGGGAACUCAAAGGAGACUGCCAGUGAUAAACUGGAGGAAGGUGGGGAUGACGUCAAGUCAUCAUGGCCCUUACGACCAGGGCUACACACGUGCUACAAUGGCGCAUACAAAGAGAAGCGACCUCGCGAGAGCAAGCGGACCUCAUAAAGUGCGUCGUAGUCCGGAUUGGAGUCUGCAACUCGACUCCAUGAAGUCGGAAUCGCUAGUAAUCGUGGAUCAGAAUGCCACGGUGAAUACGUUCCCGGGCCUUGUACACACCGCCCGUCACACCAUGGGAGUGGGUUGCAAAAGAAGUAGGUAGCUUAACCUUCGGGAGGGCGCUUACCACUUUGUGAUUCAUGACUGGGGUGAAGUCGUAACAAGGUAACCGUAGGGGAACCUGCGGUUGGAUCACCU